ACUAUAGACUGUGGAAUGCAGUUUAAAGAUGACAUAUGCCAACAAAUGCCUUGUAUUGUAUGGCACUGCCGUAAUUAAAAUUUGUUUUUUUAUUUUGGAAAUAAAAGUUCACUGUAAUUUUUUUCAUCCUCAUUAUUACAUGAUUUUUUUUUUAAGGAAAAGAAAAUGUGAAACACAAUUUAGUCCUUGUUAUUUAUUUGUAGCUCCUGCAGCAUCAUGUCAUAAUUAAGUUUUUUGGAGAUUUCUGUUAAAUGUAAUGUUGCUUUCCCAUCCUGAUUUCCUUUCUAUUUAUAACUGUAUUUUGAUGGGCAGUAAAACAAAGUGUCUUAAAAGUUUUAAAUAGAGAAAAAUGUGCUUUACACAGUUGCCUAUAAAAAGUCUAUGUUAUCCAAGCAAUUCACUCUAGAAGCUUCGGUCUCGUUGUUGUAUGCAAUUUUUACUAUCAUGCAAAUAAGCUUAGGUAAAUAAAACUAAUAGAUCACCUUAGAAAAUUAUGCAAUUAAUGUGAAAAUAAUUGAUGUUUGCAAUGUGUCUUCCUUUGGUUUACAAUCAAUUUUAAAGCGACAUCUGUAUAAAGUUUCUGUAUAAAGGUGUAUUUCUUUUUUAUGAGUUUAUGGCUAUGAAAACACCAGCUAUUUUGUUACAGCUGCUGUUUUUAUAAGUGUAUCACAGUUUUCUUUAUGCAGAAAUGUGCUGAUUAGGAGUGGUUAUUGACUGUAAGUACACGAUUAAAAUUGUUUGUAUGGUAUGACAUGGCAGGGUUUGUCUGCUUAUGUGAAGUAACUUGAGCCAGGCUCAAGGACGGCUGUCAUGUAGGUGCAUGCUCACGCUUUCUUGGUGAUAGCUUGUGGGUUCUGAAAAGCAACUGAACACUCCCUGAGAUACUCAAUUCAAGCUACACAUAUGCUCAGUUUUCAAUAGUUAUGGAAUUCCACAAUGCAGAUGAUAAUCUGCUUUUGCUUAUUACACCAGACAGUCAAAGACUCCAGCAGAAAUAUUACUGUAGCAGUUAAGUACUUGAGAUGGCCAUAUCUGCUUUUUCUGUACAAUCCUCCAGUUAGGGCAAUAUUUUCUUCAAGCUAGGGUACAUUUUUUUUAAAAGCCAUCAAUAGCAGCAUGAACAAGGGAACGCAUGGGCCUUCCGUGCGAGAAUCCUUUGCAGGAAACAGUUUAGGGGAGGGGCUUGUUUGCUGGUGAUUUGUUUUACAAGUCAUAGGUAGGCAAGGUGAACAUGGACUGCCUUUGUCAAAACUGAGAACCACAUGAAGAUAGUAGGAGGCAGAGCCCUGGACUCCAAGUCUAAACUGCUGCAUCAUGGCCCAGGCUGGUGUGCUGUGGCUGGCUCCAGAGAAACUUUCGUAGGCUGUGUUUUUCUGUCUUUUGUAUCCCUUUGUUAGGGUUCCCGUGUUGAUGGGGAUAUUUAGGUUUGUGGAGCCAGGCUCUGUAGCUACUGUCUUCCGGGGGAGCAUUUCCUCAGGCCUGGGCAGCUCCAUUCUGGUGGCUGCAGGGCUUUCCUGGUGGUCUAAAUGGGCUCCUUGAAAACUCCACUGAGGGAUUUACUUCGAAGCACAGCUGAGCACCUUGGAAGGCUGCUGUUCUGCUGCAAACUAAUUUCUGAUUCUUAAGUGAGAGAGAAAACAAUGCAAACUUUCUUGUUCGCUGGAGUUGAGCAAAGUAAUUACUUGAGCCAAAGGCAUUUGAACGGAGAUAAUGCAAGCUAAUUUUAAAUGUUAAAAACAACAACAACAACAAAACCCCCAAAACAAGUAACAUGCUGCUAACCACAGAUUAUCAUCUGUGGCCUCCUUUUCCCAGAUUUAAGAAUGGAUGGAGCAUCAUGUAGAAUUGAUGCCUUUUUUAUUUAAAACAGCCCAACACUUAAGAUAUCAGAUAGGUGUAAAAUUCAAUAGUUAUUUAGAAGGAGGAAGAUUUUUCCUGUUCCUAACAGUCUGAGUUAUUUUGAAUUGAUGUAUCCAAGGAAAUGAGUGUGUUGGAAAGCAACACCAUUGUGCCAGCAAAAUUAUCAGAUUUUUAAAAUUUCAGGUCAGCAUGGUUUUGUUACUUUAGAAUAAAGCACAUGUUUGCAAGCCACGAUGGUCACAAUGGAGUGGGCAAAACUGUUGAAGACAGCGUAUUUCAGAAGAUUUCCCCUAGUGAUCCACAUUGUCCCCAGCUCCCAACGUCAUUGUCACCCAUGUGUCUCUGGUUGCCUAUGGCUGUUGGUAAAAUUCCUUUAACAAGCUUCAUUGUGUCCCAGCGUUUCGGCUGGGCAUGACAUAGUGCUUUGUGCUGUUAGAACCUUAGCAGAGUCAGGUAAUUUCCGGGUAGUAGUCAGUUGUGUGCAUCUGAGUCUGUCAUAGCAUCCUACACUCAGCACUUUGCCACUAAUUUGUAUUACACUCUGUGGCCAUAUAAUACCUGCACAUUAUGCAAAAAAUGUUGUUGACAGUAUCUUCUUGCCACACAAUAUGCAGAGUUGACACAUAACCUUUGAAAACAAAGGUGACUAGUAUGUGUGCCCUACCUGUGUGGCACUUAGUAACAAAGUCUGUACAUAUGUAUAAAAUGCGUAUUGACUGGCAUUUAGUACUAUGAAAUUCUGAGCUUAAGCGUCUGCCCCUAGUAGUAUCUAUAGUUAACAAUGCAUAUUGAAAAUACAUAGCUUAAAUAAAAAAAAAUUUAAAUGGUUCAGAAGUGAUUGGAAAUGAGUGUCCCACACCUGCUAUUAUUAAAUUCUUCCCUGGUCCCAGUUGUUCACAUUUGGCUAACAAGGUCCUUGAUUGUCACAGUAUUUUCAAUAAAUGAGCUAUU
rnacentral:lncRNA from 1 species